rnacentral:lncRNA from 12 species
CUUUGGUUGUUCCUGUGCUUUUGACACUGAAAUGGGAAGAAGAAUAUAAUUUCCUCACAACAGAACACCAGGAAAUGUUUUACUUCAGCUUGAUGCUAAAAAGUGAAGUAAUUGGUGGCAUAGGUUGCACCUGCUCUUAAGGAUAGUACCCAUGGAUAAAUGCAGAGAAGGCACAAAGCCAGCAUUUGACAGCACAAUGGUCCCUGGUUUUCAAGCAGUGAGACGUCUUGGGCAGGAGUUUUCCCAGCCCAUCUCAGGAUGGAUCUUUAAGAAAUUUAAUUGUAACAUGCUAGAAUUUUUCCUUGGAAGAGAAACAAUACCUCGUCCAGAAGACACUGAAUUUAAGUUCCUGCUGGAUGUUUCCAUGGCCUCAGCCAAGGGGAUGAAACCCUUUU